AGAACAGUAGUUAAACAUAACAAUUGGGUUGCAUUCAAUAAGUAUCUACUAAGAUCUGUUUUA
rnacentral:tRNA from 1 species